CUAUUGCUUUUCUUCCAAUUUCUCUUCUCUUCCAAGGUUAGCUGAAUUCCCCUUCUCAAAUCCUCCUUCCUUCACUUGAUUUAGUGUUUUAUAGGUUUAACUUGCAAGUUUAUAAAGCUAUUCUCUCAAUUUCCUUAUUGUUUUUCCUUACUUUUCUCUCUAUCUCUCACGUUAUGCUCUGUUUUUCUUUUCAUCUUUUUGUUUCUGCCCAUUCGGCAGUUAAUAAAAGAGAAGGAGGGCUUAUAUAUUUUCUUUUCAAUGGCAAAUAACUAUUCUACCCCUAAUGAGUAUUUUUACCUCUAUUUGACGGUCCUUAUUUUUUUGCUAGCACUACCGAGCUCCAUUCAUCUUAAAAUUUUAACCAGGUUUUAUUCAGUAUAUUUUAAGGUUUCUCAUAAAAUUUCGGCUCAAUCCGAUGGUCGGAUUAAAAAUCACGUCCAAUAACGUAAAACUAGUCGAAUUGUGAUUUUUCGUCAAAUUUCCGAAUUUAUCUAAAAAUUCUGAAAUUUUAACCCAAGCUAAGGCAUGAUAUUAUAACACUCCACGCAAAUUUUCAGAAUUUUCUGAGCACCCAAUCAAGAAUUACGAAUUAUUUUGUUUUACCUAAAACUAGUCAAUUUAUGAUUUUUUCGUCAAAUUUCCGAAUUUCUCUAAAAAUUCUGAAAUUUUAACCCAAUAUAAGGCAUGAUAUUAGAACGCUCCACGCAAAUUUUCAGAAUUUUCUGAUCACCCAAUCAAGAGUUAUGAAUUAUUUUGUUUUACCUAAAACUAGUCAAUUUAUGAUUUUUUCGUCAAAUUUCCGAAUUUCUCUAAAAAUUAUGAAAUUUUAACCCAAUAUAAGGCAUGAUAUUAGAACGCUCCACGCAAAUUUUCAGAAUUUUCUGAUCACCCAAUCAAGAGUUAUGAAUUAUUUUGUUUUACCUAAAACUAGUCAAUUUAUGAUUUUUCACCUGGAGGUUUUACAUUCUCCCCUUCUAAAAAUAAAUUUCGUCCUCGAAAUUUAAAUUCAUACCUAUAUAAGAAAAUAAUCCAGGAUAUUUCUUCAUCAUUUCUGACUCUCUCUCCCAGGUUUCUUCUUCUAUUUGAGAGUUUCUCCACAAUACUUUUACUAACGGCACCCUUUUAUUUCGUAAUUCCUUUAUACUUCGGUCCAUAAUUUGCACAGGCUGUACCUCCAUAGUUAAAUCUUCCCGCACUUCCAUCGGAAUUUGUGGCAAAAUUCGUGUAGGAUCCAAAUUUGCUUUUCGCAGCAUCGAGACAUGGAACACAUUAUGUAUCCUAUCUAAAUUUUGUGGCAGCAGUACUCGAUAGGCAACCGUCCCAAUUCUUUCUAUAAUUUUAUAAGGCCCGAUAUACCUGGGUGCUAAUUUUCCUUUCAUUCCAAACCGAAUCACAUGCUUCCAUGGAGCAACCUUUAAAAAUACUGCAUCUCCAAUUUGAAACUCUAGAGGUCUCCGUCGAUUAUCUGCAUAGCUCUUUUGCCGGUCUUGAGCUUCUUUCAUCCUUUCCUUUAUCACCUUCACCUUAUCAACCGUGAUCUGCACCAGUUCAGGUCCCAAUAAUUUUCUUUCCCCAACUUCAUCCCAACAUACUGCAGUUCGACAUCUCCUUCCAUACAAUGCUUCAUAUGGUGCCAUUCCAAUAGUAGAUUGAUAACUAUUGUUAUAAGUAAAUUCUACUAAUGGCAAGUGAUCCUCCCAUUGACCUCCAAACUCUAGAAUACAAGACCGCAACAAAUCUUCUAAAAUUUGUAUUGUCCUUUCAGAUUGACCAUCAGUCUGUGGAUGAAAAGCUGUGCUUAGAUUCAAUCUGGUACCCAAAGCCCGUUGUAUACACGGCCAUAACCUUGAUGUAAACCGAGGAUCCCUAUCAGAAACUAUAGAAACUGGUACACCAUGUAAUCUCACCACCUCCUUAAUAUAUAAUUGAGCUAGUUUUUCAACCGAAUCCCCCAUCUUCAUAGGCAAAAACAAAGAAGACUUUGUCAGUCUAUCCACAAUCACCCAUAUAGCAUCGUGUCCUUUCCUACUUCUGGGUAGCCCAGACACAAAAUCCAUAGUGAUAUUCUCCCAUUUCCAUUCUGGAAUCGGAAGAGGCUGUAAUUCUCCAGCCGGUCGUUGAUGCUCUAUUUUCACCUGUUGACAUAUGGCACACUUGGCCACAUAUUCUGCUAUCUCCUUCUUCAUGUUUGGCCACCAGUAACUCUCCUUCAAAUUUCUAUACAUUUUCGUGCUCCCUGGAUGGAUCGCCAAUUUAGACUCAUGAGCUUCUUUUAAAACUUCACCUUUUAAAACCUUAUCAUCAGGUAAAUAUAUUCUUUUUCCCAUCACUACGAGCCCAUCAUUCGACACUCGAAAUGAAGAGUCUUGGCCGACUUUUACAUUACUCAUUUCUUUCUUUACUUCGGGAUCUUCACCUUGAACUUUUCGAAUCUUUUCUCUCAUAUCAGAUUGUAGCACUAACGUUGCCAGUAACAUUCCUUUUGAAGUCACAUUCAUGUGCACAUUUAGCCCACCAAGUUCCAAGAGUUCUCUAUCACCUCGCACUAGUAAGCCACCAAUAAAAGCUUUGUUCUUCCGACUCAGAGCAUCUGCCACCACAUUUGCUUUUCCCGGGUGAUAGUCAAUAAUACAAUCAUAAUCUUUGAUUAGCUCCAUCCAUCUCCUCUGACGCAUAUUCAAUUCUUUUUGUGACAUCAAGUAUUUUAAACUUUUGUGAUCUGUAAAAAUCUUUACCUGUACUCCGUACAGAUAAUGCCUCCAUAUCCUCAAAGCAAACACCACAGCUGCCAGCUCCAAAUCAUGUACUGGAUAGUUCACUUCAUGUGGUUUUAACUGUCUGGAUGCAUAGGCGAUUACCCUUCCAUGCUGCAUAAGUACACAACCCAAACCCUUACUGGAAGCAUCGCUAUACACGACAAAUCCCUCUUGUUCUUUUGGUAAAGCCAAUACUGGGGCUGAAGUUAGCCUGGAUUUUAACUCUUGAAAACUUGUUUCACACUCCUUUGACCAUUCAAACUUAACUUCCUUCCGAGUUAGCCGAGUCAUUGGAGAGGCUAUCGUGGAAAAUCCUUCUAUAAAUCUUCUAUAAUAUCCAGCUAAGCCCAAGAAACUACGAAUUUCAGUCACAUUUGUAGGUCUUUCCCAUCUCAAUACUGCUUCUAUCUUCUUCGGAUCCACACUGAUACCCUUCUCCGAUAUCACAUGACCCAAAAAUACUACUUCGUUCAGCCAAAAUUCACACUUACUCAGCUUCGCAUACAACUUAUUUCUCCUUAAGGUCUCUAACACUUCUCUCAAGUGAUUUGCAUGUUCCAUUUGUGAUGAAGAAUAUAUUAGUAUAUCAUCAAUAAACACUACUACAAACUUAUCCAGACAGGAUCGAAAAACCCGAUUCAUCAAAUCCAUAAAUAUCGCUGGAGCAUUAGUUAAUCCAAAAGGCAUCACCACAAACUCAUAAUGCCCGUAGCGAGUUCUAAAAGCUGUUUUCUUUAUAUCUUUCUCCUUUAUCAUCACCUGAUGAUACCCUGACCUCAAGUCUAUUUUUGAAAAUACACACGCCCCUUUUAACUGAUCAAACAAAUCAUCAAUUCGUGGAAGGGGGUACUUAUUUUUUAUAGUCACUUUAUUGAGCUGUCUAUAAUCUAUACAGAGCCGUAAAGUUCCAUCUUUCUUUUUAACAAACAGCACAGGAGCCCCCCAAGGUGAAACACUAGGGCGGAUAAACCCUUUAUCCAGCAAUUCUUGCAAUUGUAUUUUCAAUUCCACCAAUUCUGCAGGCGCCAUUCGAUACGGUGCCUGAGCUACUGGUGUAGUUCCAGGCAGUGUUUCUAUCGAAACUUCUACUUCUCUCUCAGGUGGUAACCCGGGUAAUUCCUUUGGAAAUACAUCUGGAAACUCUCUUACUGUAGGUAUUUUAUCUAACUCCAUUUCUUUCUUUUCCAAAUCUACUACAUAGGCAAGAUAAGCUGUACAUCCCUUUCUUAAUAGUUUCCUAGCUGUCAUGACCGAAAUUAUACUAUUUGGUAUGAUGUUCCUCUCUCCUCUAAACUCUACCCUCCUACCACCCUCAUCUUGGAGAGUUACCGUUUUAGUAAAACAAUCAAUUUGGGCUCUGUAUGUUACUAGCCAAUCCAUUCCUAAAAUCAUCUCAAAAUCAUAUAGGUCUAGUGGUAAUAAAUCUACCCUCAUUUCUACAUCUUCUAUUUUUACCCGACAACCCCUGUAAACAUACUCUAUAAGUACGGUUUCCCCUAAAGGUGUACCAAUUACUACCCCUUUUUCCACUCUCAUAGGUUGCACUUUCAAUUUAUCUUCCCAUUUUCUAGCUACAAAGGAGUGGGUAGCACCAGGAUCAAUCAAUGUAUAUACAUGUUGAGAUUCUAAUAGUAAAGUACCUGCAACAACAUCAGUGGCAGCUCGCACAUCUUCCUGAGUCAUACGAAAAACUCUCCCUUGAGCUCCCCCUCCUGGUACUCGAGGUCGACCUCGAACAGCACUAGUCCCAGACUGGGCAGGUCUACCCGGCCUGUCCACGGUCACAGACUGCUGCUGACUCUGUACUGAAAAACCCUGUCUCUGUGUCUGCCUUAUAGUCCUCUGGGGACACUCCCUCCUACGAUGCCCUGUCUCUCCACAAUGAUAACAUGCAGCAUCUAGAUAGGGGCAAUCCCUCCAUCUAUGUUCCUGUCUGCAUAUAUAACAUCUGCCAGAUGUGACCGAACAAUCUCCAGGAUGUUUACGAUCGCAUCUCACACACAGGGGAUAAGUAGUCAUCCUGGAGCCCUCUGCAACUCCUCCUGGUAAACUAGUCUGUGGGCGUGACCACCCUCCCUGUGAGCUCUGCAUAGGUCUACUCGAUGUACCCCCUGAUCCCAGAUUUCCUCCCUUCUUUCUGAACUGACCAAAAUGUCCUCCUUUUCCCUUUUUUGAAAAAGGAGGUCUCCCUGUAAAUGAUGCAGGCUCCUUACGCUUUUCUACUCCCAUAGUACCCUGUCCAUCACCUUCUCGCCGCCCUGCGGCUGCCACGGCCUCUAGAGACUGAGCGGCCACUAUAAAAUCUCUCACUGUCAGAAACUGCAAGGCAGCCAAUCCCAUCCUCAGCUCCUGUCGGAGUCCAUCUCGGAGUCUCUCUAUCCGAUGCUGCUCAGUCGGUAAAUAAACAGAAGCAAACAUAGAGAGGUCCUGAAACCGCCUCUCAUAUUCCAAUACUGUCAUGUCUCCCUGAGUAAGAGCCAAGAACUCCUGUUCUUUGAUCUUCCGAUGCUGUCGGGAAUAAUACUGGUUCUCAAACUCUAUCCUGAAAUCCCUCCAUCUAAGCGUCUCAGUAGCCCGUCUCUCUUUAACAAUAUCCCACCAUGUCUGGGCUCUGUCUGAUAAUAACUGAGUAGCACAAUCCACUCGGAGCUCUGCUGGUACUGCUAUUUGAUCCAUAGACCUCUCUAUCUUUCGUAACCAUCGCCCGGCUAUCUCAGCAUCCUCCUCUCCCAUAAAUGCCUCACAACCUAAUUCUCUUAGACUCUUUACCCAUCGAACUAAGGUGACCACAUUAUCCCUAGGGGUAGUACUCAAUGGUCCCGCCAUCUCUGUCAUCACUGCACGAACCAACUGUGCAAUAUAAGCUGGAUCUAGAUAUGGUGGAGGUGCUACCCCAGGGGGUGCCGCUGGUGCUACUGCAGGUGCUACUGUUGUGGGGGCUGAGUUCCCUGCCCAUCCCCCUCAAAUAUCCCCCGCUCAUCUCGGAGUCCAGAUGACUCUCCUUGUCCGGAUUGCACCGACCCGGCUGGCACAAAAGAUGCUGUAUCUACCAGAGGAUCUCUCUCUAGUCCUCUAUCUCCUGUCUCAACUAGACGCUCGUCCCUCAAGGGUGACGAGUCAGCUCUGGCUUCUUGUCGUGUACGCACCAUCCUGAAACAAUAUAUUUUUUUUUUACAUUAAUAAUGGUCUCCUGAACUUUAACCAUGCUCUGAUACCAAAAUGUAACAGUCUCAAAUCAUAAUGUCAUGAAAUCUCCAAACAUUUAUUCACCAAUGUCAAGUAUUGGAUAAUAUGUCUAAAAUUAUGGGAUUUUUUUUUUUUUGAAAAUUUCGGCAGAGUUUCCUCUGUUUUUAUUGGUACCAAGUUAUCGACAACACUUCUAAUAUAUAUCAUUGUGACUUCCAUCUUGAUCCAAUCAUCCUGGAUCACAUUUCAAUCAUCAAACAAUAACGCAAUACUUACUUAUCAAUUAAUAAUCAACAUAAAUGUACUCCCAAAGCAACCCAAAGGAUAAACAAAUUCAUCACAAACAUAAUAAAUGCUAACUAACUACAUAAAUACAACAUUAAGAUUAAGAGUCAUAUUAUGUUUAUAAUAAAUCUUAUCUUAUCAUUUUGAAAAUGAUUUGCUCAUACUAAUAACUAUACAUAUAUAUAUAUAUAUAUAUUACAUCCACUACCUAUUACACAUUCUACUUGAUUUUUGCAUCACAAAAGGAUUUACAUUGAAAGUAAAGACAUGAUAUUACAUUCCAAAAUGGUAAUUCAUAAACAGGAGAAUUCCUACAUCUAACGAUCUGCAUCACCUCGUGGCAUACCUGUUUCAACAACAACCAUAUUAAUUAACUUUAUCAUUAUAUUAAUCUAAUAUUAAAUAAUUACUCUUAACCUUUGAAAUUUAGUACUUCCACUUCAAUCUAACUUACUCCUAUAAUUUACAUAAUCUUUUUAGGAUUUAAAAAUCCCACUAAUUCCUCUUAAUUACCAAAUACAUCUAACACUUCCAUAUAGAUACCCAAAAUUCAUUUUUUUCUUCCUCGGUUACCAAUAGACCCAGUAAUUCCAUUCGAAUUACCUAUCAUCCAGCUAACCUCUUUUGUUAGCCAAUCAAUCCGGUAAUUCCAUAUGAAUUACUCCUUAUCCAGUUAACCUCUUUGUUAACCAAUAAACCCGGUAAUUCUCUUUAUUACCCAAAAAUCCGACUAACCCAUUUCGGUUAGCAAAAUCAAUCCGGUAAUUCCAUAUGAAUCACCCAGUAUCCGGCUAAUCUCUUUUGUUAGCCAAUCAAUCCGGUAAUUCCAUUCGAAUUACCUAGCAUCCGACUAAUCUCUUGUAUUAGUCAAACAAUCCGGUAAUUCCAUACGAAUUACCCCAUAUCCGGUUAACCUCUUUGUUAACCAAUAAAACCGGUAAUUUCACAUAAUCAUAACUCAAAUUAUUCCUUUGCUCCAUUCAUUUAAUAUCAAUUAAAUAAGCAACAUAGAUAAUUAGGAAAACUAAAAAUACAAAAUGAGGUGACGAAUUCACCUACCUUCUGUUCGGGAUGACCCAGCUCCUCCUGUCUGAUAACCAGCUCCAGACACAACUCCUGAAUCAAUCAAGUGUCAUUAUAUCAUUAGUCCAUCAAUAUUUUUUUCUUAUGUGCAACAUAAAGCACAUAAUAUUUUUAUUAGUAAUUUGUUCUAAUAAAAAUUCAUUCUCAAAUAUAACAUCAUUAUUUUACAUACAACCUCAUAUUUAACUCAAGUUACUUCUUUGUUUUCUCUAUGUUCAUAAUUCCUCCAUCGAAUAAUUCUUCUAUUCUUUAUACCCUCACAUCAUAUUAUUUAUUUUAUUUAAAUACUAUAUUCAAACACAAUCUAGGCAUCUUGUCUUCAUAUUUUCUUUUAACUAGUUUAUUUCUCUUUUAAUUUGAAUUUACAUAUUAUUAUUUUCUCAACUUAAAUGCUAUCUCUUCAUUUAGUCUUUCUUACAUUUUCAUUUAUCAUGAUUAAACAUGGUUUUUUUCUAAACAUUAACAUCAAAACUCAUUCUCCCAUUUUUUUUUUUUUCCCCUUCAUUGGCCGAAUGUGAUGGUUCUUUUUCCUCCCCCAAAUCUUUCUUCAUUUACUUGUUAUUUCAACUUGUUUUCAUUCUAUUCCUCUUCAAUUUCAUCAUUUUCCCUUCCCCUCCUAAUUCCCCAAAUUCACAUAAGAACCCUAAGUUCAAUAAUCUAGGAUUUAAGGGAAACUAAGGUAAAGUUCCAUGAAAUUACUUCCUAAUUUAAUCAAAUAAGCUUAGGAAAAACAUCUAAAUCAACAUUAAAUCCAAACUUCUCAUGCUUACCUAUUGCUUUUCUUCCAAUUUCUCUUCUCUUCCAAGGUUAGCUGAAUUCCCCUUCUCAAAUCCUCCUUCCUUCACUUGAUUUAGUGUUUUAUAGGUUUAACUUGCAAGUUUAUAAAGCUAUUCUCUCAAUUUCCUUAUUGUUUUUCCUUACUUUUCUCUCUAUCUCUCACGUUAUGCUCUGUUUUUCUUUUCAUCUUUUUGUUUCUGCC
rnacentral:lncRNA from 1 species